UACCUACCAGACAAGAAAAGUGC
rnacentral:piRNA from 1 species